GAUGGAGCUGCUAUCACAGCCCCAGAAGACUACCCAGAUGGUUCAUCCCAGCUGGUACUCUCUGCAGCAUUCUUCACUGCUGAGUUCACCCUCCUACAGAAAUAUUUUGAUGUGGAUAUCAAAGGCAAAACCAUUGGCAAGCUCCCCCCACAUACGACCAAAACACUAUCUCGCUUUGUGCCUCGGGUUGGUAAGGCUUAUCGCAAAUCACUGCCUUUGAUGACCCAAAUCAGAAUCAGUAAGCCCCCAAAAGACAUCAUGAAACCAGGCAAGAGCCAGCUGCACCUCCAUGGCACAAUAGAGAUGUUCGCUAUUCCUCCCAAGUCAGGUCCUUCCUCCAUGUUUGUUCUAGAAAUUGUGAGUAUUCAAACAAUUUCUCUUUCACUAACAGGGCCUGUC
rnacentral:lncRNA from 1 species